rnacentral:rRNA from 1 species
UACGGAGGGCGCGAGCGUUGUUCGGAAUCACUGGGCGUAAAGCGCGUGUAGGCGGCCGAGCAAGUCGGAUGUGAAAUCCCGAGGCUCAACCUCGGAACUGCAUUCGAAACUGCUCGGCUCGAGUCCCAGAGAGGAUGGCGGAAUUCCCGGUGUAGGGGUGAAAUCCGUAGAUAUCGGGAGGAACACCAGUGGCGAAGGCGGCCAUCUGGACGGUGACUGACGCUGAGACGCGAAAGCGUGGGGAGCAAACAGG